UGUUCUAUGGCUGAACUGGUAAAGGCAUUGCCGAUCACAGGCAAGGUUGCGGGUUCGAGUUCCGCUGUAACGG
rnacentral:tRNA from 1 species